CGAGAACUGGUCGGGGAAGAACGCAGACAAGAGGGCCCGAGGGAACGCCUUGACGCUCUUCACCGUGUGUUUGGACGUGCGUGCGAGAAAUAAAGGACACAACACGCUGCCUCAGCUGAGGCUAGAACUAGCGACCUUCGGAUCACUAGA